rnacentral:rRNA from 1 species
AGACCCGAAACCCGGUGAUCUAGCCAUGGGCAGGUUGAAGGUUGGGUAACACUAACUGGAGGACCGAACCGACUAAUGUUGAAAAAUUAGCGGAUGACCUGUGGCUGGGGGUGAAAGGCCAAUCAAACCGGGAGAUAGCUGGUUCUCCCCGAAAGCUAUUUAGGUAGCGCCUCGUGAAUUCAUCUCCGGGGGUAGAGCACUGUUUCGGCUAGGGGGCCAUCCCGGCUUACCAACCCGAUGCAAACUGCGAAUACCGGAGAAUGUUAUCACGGGAGACACACGGCGGGUGCUAACGUCCGUCGUGAAGAGGGAAACAACCCAGACCGCCAGCUAAGGUCCCAAAGUCAUGGUUAAGUGGGAAACGAUGUGGGAAGGCCCAGACAGCCAGGAUGUUGGCUUAGAAGCAGCCAUCAUUUAAAGAAAGCGUAAUAGCUCACUGGUCGAGUCGGCCUGCGCGGAAGAUGUAACGGGGCUAAACCAUGCACCGAAGCUGCGGCAGCGAACGUAUCACCCAAGACAACUUUACGGAGUUGACGAUUGACGGAGCGAAGCGACGUCAAAGCGUUCAUUAAAGUCGAGUUGGCUUAGGGAUACGUUCGUUGGGUAGGGGAGCGUUCUGUAAGCCUGUGAAGGUGUGUCGUGAGGCAUGCUGGAGGUAUCAGAAGUGCGAAUGCUGACAUAAGUAACGAUAAAGCGGGUGAAAAGCCCGCUCGCCGGAAGACCAAGGGUUCCUGUCCAACGUUAAUCGGGGCAGGGUGAGUCGACCCCUAAGGCGAGGCCGAAAGGCGUAGUCGAUGGGAAACGGGUUAAUAUUCCCGUACUUGGUGUUACUGCGAAGGGGGGACGGAGAAGGCUAUGUUGGCCGGGCGACGGUUGUCCCGGUUUAAGCGUGUAGGUGUGUGUUCCAGGUAAAUCCGGUUCACUUUAACACUGAGGCGUGACGACGAGGCACUACGGUGCUGAAGCAACAAAUGCCCUGCUUCCAGGAAAAGCCUCUAAGCAUCAGGUAACACGAAAUCGUACCCCAAACCGACACAGGUGGUCAGGUAGAGAAUACCAAGGCGCUUGAGAGAACUCGGGUGAAGGAACUAGGCAAAAUGGUGCCGUAACUUCGGGAGAAGGCACGCUGACACGUAGGUGAAGUGAUUUACUCAUGGAGCUGAAGUCAGUCGAAGAUACCAGCUGGCUGCAACUGUUUAUUAAAAACACAGCACUGUGCAAACACGAAAGUGGACGUAUACGGUGUGACGCCUGCCCGGUGCCGGAAGGUUAAUUGAUGGGGUCAGCGUAAGCGAAGCUCCUGAUCGAAGCCCCGGUAAACGGCGGCCGUAACUAUAACGGUCCUAAGGUAGCGAAAUUCCUUGUCGGGUAAGUUCCGACCUGCACGAAUGGCGUAAUGAUGGCCAGGCUGUCUCCACCCGAGACUCAGUGAAAUUGAACUCGCUGUGAAGAUGCAGUGUACCCGCGGCAAGACGGAAAGACCCCGUGAACCUUUACUAUAGCUUGACACUGAACAUUGAGCCUUGAUGUGUAGGAUAGGUGGGAGGCUUUGAAGUGUGGACGCCAGUCUGCAUGGAGCCGACCUUGAAAUACCACCCUUUAAUGUUUGAUGUUCUAACGUGGACCCGUAAUCCGGGUUGCGGACAGUGUCUGGUGGGUAGUUUGACUGGGGCGGUCUCCUCCUAAAGAGUAACGGAGGAGCACGAAGGUUGGCUAAUCCUGGUCGGACAUCAGGAGGUUAGUGCAAUGGCAUAAGCCAGCUUGACUGCGAGCGUGACGGCGCGAGCAGGUGCGAAAGCAGGUCAUAGUGAUCCGGUGGUUCUGAAUGGAAGGGCCAUCGCUCAACGGAUAAAAGGUACUCCGGGGAUAACAGGCUGAUACCGCCCAAGAGUUCAUAUCGACGGCGGUGUUUGGCACCUCGAUGUCGGCUCAUCACAUCCUGGGGCUGAAGUAGGUCCCAAGGGUAUGGCUGUUCGCCAUUUAAAGUGGUACGCGAGCUGGGUUUAGAACGUCGUGAGACAGUUCGGUCCCUAUCUGCCGUGGGCGCUGGAGAACUGAGGGGGGCUGCUCCUAGUACGAGAGGACCGGAGUGGACGCAUCACUGGUGUUCGGGUUGUCAUGCCAAUGGCACUGCCCGGUAGCUAAAUGCGGAAGAGAUAAGUGCUGAAAGCAUCUAAGCACGAAACUUGCCCCGAGAUGAGUUCUCCCUGAGACUUAGAGUCUCCUGAAGGAACGUUGAAGACGACGACGUUGAUAGGCCGGGUGUGUAAGCGCAGCGAUGCGUUGAGCUAACCGGUACUAAUGAACCGUGAGGCUUAACCUUACAA